rnacentral:piRNA from 1 species
UGGGUUCUUUCCUUCGCUGGGAUCC